CAUUUCCUUCUCCAGGGGAUCUUCCUGCCCAGGAAUGGAACCCACAUCUCCUGAAUUAGCAGCCACAGAGGAAAAAAAUCCCCUGCACACCUGGACUUGGACUUUCCCAUGUACAGGUUGGCCAAAGGUAUACCUAGGAGGAGAAGAUAUACUGUGAAAACAUCCACUGAUGCUGAAGAUUCAAUGAGGCAAGGUGCUUUAGACAAGCUGUCGGAAUCGUCCUUGGGCACAACAUACUUAGUGAUCAAUACGGCAGUCAAAAAACUAAAAGAAUGUUGCACAUUUGUCAGAGUAUUGUUACACUCUUGUUGUAGUGAAUCCAAUUCUGGAAAAUUUUCUUAUGUAAAUAAUUUUUAAUUAAAAUGCUAUAUUUUAUACACAAAGACA